rnacentral:tRNA from 1 species
GAGGGUGUGGCUCAGUGGCAAAGCAUGGGUUCAGCACACCUACAGCCCUGGGUUCCAUUCCAGCACUUUCC